rnacentral:rRNA from 1 species
GAUGAACGCUGGCGGUCUGCUUAACACAUGCAAGUCGAACGGAAUCUUUCGGGAUUUAGUGGCGGACGGGUGAGUAACGCGUGAGAAUCUGCCUUCAGGUUCGGGACAACAGCUGGAAACGGCUGCUAAUACCGGAUGUGCCGAGAGGUGAAACUUUAGUGCCUGGAGAUGAGCUCGCGUCUGAUUAGCUAGUAGGAGUGGUAACGGCACCCCUAGGCGACGAUCAGUAGCUGGUCUGAGAGGAUGAUCAGCCACACUGGGACUGAGACACGGCCCAGACUCCUACGGGAGGCAGCAGUGGGGAAUUUUCCGCAAUGGGCGCAAGCCUGACGGAGCAAGACCGCGUGAGGGAAGAAGGUCUGUGGAUUGUAAACCUCUUUUGAUAGGGAAGAAGACAGUGACGGUACCUAUCGAAUCAGCCUCGGCUAACUCCGUGCCAGCAGCCGCGGUAAUACGGAGGAGGCAAGCGUUAUCCGGAAUUAUUGGGCGUAAAGAGUCCGUAGGUGGGUGACCAAGUCAGUUGUUAAAUAGUGAAGCUUAACUUCAUAGAGGCGACUGACACUGGUCAUCUAGAGUGUGGUAGGGGUAGAGGGAAUUCCAGUGUAGCGGUGAAAUGCGUAGAUAUUGGAAGAACACCGGUGGCGAAAGCGCUCUACUGGGCUGCACUGACACUGAGGGACGAAAGCUAGGGGAGCGAAAGGGAUUAGAUACCCCUGUAGUCCUAGCCGUAAACGAUGGAUACUAGGCGUUGCCCG